CUUCAAUUGAAUCUGUCCUAAUUCCUUUCGGCAACUACUAUUCGUAGGGGGUUUCGUUGAUCCCACGCCUCGUUGCAGAGAGUGUAGUAUACUCGAAAUUGAAUAUGAUAAAGAAAAUAAAAAGGGGUGUGGCGUACAAGCGCGGUUUGGCGAGCGUGAGAACAGUGGGGUAUCUUCCAGGGAUGUGGCAAGCACCAAUGCCAUUGACUUCCAGCAUUUGAAAAAUGGCCUGACCAAUCCUAAAAUGAAAUAAUUACUUAUCGUAUUCAAGUUUCAAAGAGUUCAAGCAGAAGGAGCAUCUCACCGGUUCGCCCAGACCAACUUUCUGGUCGAAGAGCUCAAGACGGAAGAGCAGCCCUUCUAAGACUAUAAAUUUCUCUCUAUGGAGAACCUUUACUCUAAGGAGCAGAGCAGAAGCUGAAAGAUCGCCGAAUGUGUCAAGAAGCGUCAGUCGAGAUUUGCCUUCCCCUCUUUCAAGAAGCAUGAAUAGAAAGCGCACAUCAGAAACUACAAUGCCAGGCAUUUCAACAAGUACAAGCAGGAGUACCACUCCGUUUACGUUCUGUCAGUCCACUGCUCGGAGAAAACCUCGCCCAGUUGAAAAAAAAUGCUUGACUGCACCCUGGAGGAGCUGUGCUAUGGCGGGCUAGAAACGAUCAAGUUAAUCAGGGAUGUCGUCUCGGAUGAAGGAUGUUGGCAGAAUGAUUGUCCAAGAAGAGGGAGGAGACACCAACAAUAAAUAUGAGGCCAGGAUGCAAAAUGCAGGAACAAAAGUUACAUUCGAGGGAAAGGCAAUAAGAAACCAGGCAAUCUUCCAGCAGAUAUCAUUCUCCUCUGUUUAGGAGCCAAGUCGACAAUUUGGAGAUUGCCGUUGAGGUCCCUAUGGUGAAGGCUCUCACAGGUUGCUCCCUUUCAGUUACUCAGGAUAUGAAAAUGUCAUUCAGGUUCAAGGAAUGUCCAAUGCCAAAGGAGGAAAGCAAGGUGACUUGAGAAUCACAUUUCUUGUCAACUUUCCCACAGAAUUGACCGAUCAACAAGGCCUCGAAGCAUAUAUUGGCAGAUUGUUCUUGAUUGAUCAUUAGAUAAUCCCCCUCCUUAUGGAAUUAUUGCAUUGUAACCUUUUAUAGGAUGCAGAAAACAUCUCUUAAAUAUGAUACUCUUUAUGCAAUUAGUACAAGGUAAUACUUUUUGCCUCACAUUUUAUGGAAGUAAAAUGUGCAAAUAUGUGUAACCAUGAGAAGAAAAGAAAAUUGCACUUCAUAGUUCUUAAGUGGUAAUUAAAAAAAUACAGUUCCAAGCCCUUUCUUGAUCCUCUUCUUUUACUUUUUUGUACUACUGCUUAUCACUUAAGGCUAUUAUAUGUCCUGCUU